CACGUAGGGCGCAAGCGUUGUCCGGAAUUAUUGGGCGUAAAGAGCUCGUAGGCGGUCUCUGUGUCGUCCGUGUGAAAACUCGGGGCUUAACCCCGAGCCUGCAGUGGAUACGGGCAGACUAGAGGUAGGUAGGGGAGAAUGGAAUUCCCGGUGUAGCGGUGAAAUGCGCAGAUAUCGGGAGGAACACCGGUGGCGAAGGCGGUUCUCUGGGCCUUACCUGACGCUGAGGAGCGAAAGCGUGGGGAGCGAACAGG
rnacentral:rRNA from 1 species